rnacentral:rRNA from 1 species
UACGUAGGGUGCAAGCGUUAAUCGGAAUUACUGGGCGUAAAGCGUGCGCAGGCGGCUAUGCAAGACAGAUGUGAAAUCCCCGGGCUCAACCUGGGAACUGCAUUUGUGACUGCAUGGCUAGAGUACGGUAGAGGGGGAUGGAAUUCCGCGUGUAGCAGUGAAAUGCGUAGAUAUGCGGAGGAGCACCGAUGGCGAAGGCAAUCCCCUGGACCUGUACUGACGCUCAUGCACGAAAGCGUGGGGAGCAAACAGG